UACGUAGGGUGCAGGCGUUACUCGGAAUUACUGGGCGUAAAGCGUGCGCAGGCGGUCUGUUAAGAGAGAUGUGAAAUCCCCGGGCUUAACCUGGGAACUGCGUUUCUAACUGGCAGGCUUGAGUGUGGCAGAGGGGGGUGGAAUUCCACGUGUAGCAGUGAAAUGCGUAGAGAUGUGGAGGAACACCGAUGGCGAAGGCAGCCCCCUGGGCUAACACUGACGCUCAUGCGCGAAAGCGUGGGGAGCAAACAGG
rnacentral:rRNA from 1 species